UCGCUAGUACCGAUUGAAUGGCUUAGUGAGACCUUUGGAUUGGGUUUACUUGGGGGGCAACUCCCAUCUAUUUCUAAAAAGUUGGUCAAACUUGGUCAUUUAGAGGAACUAA
rnacentral:rRNA from 1 species